rnacentral:rRNA from 1 species
CGUUAUAAAUAGGCGCAGGUUACGUACCCUCUGAUUGGAAAUAACCAUGAAUAACCGAGGAUAAUACCCAAUGAUCCGCCGCGUUGAAAUGCCGCCCAGACAAAGGUGAAAUUCCGACGAAGGAGCGGUCUGCGUGGUAUUACCUUGUUGGUGAGAUCUCGACUCACCAAGGCAAAAAUGCCUACCGGGUGUGAAAGGAUGGCCCCCCCCAAUGCCACUGAGACGCUGCCCAGACAUCUACUGAUGGCUGCACGCAAGAAUCUUUGACAAUGGACGCAAGUGUGACCAAGCGAUUCCGAGUGCUGAAUGAUUGCCUUCGGGAUGAAAACAGUUGACAUAGUAGAUGAAUUUGGUGAGGGCUAUCCCCCUUCAUUGACCGAGUCUCUUAGGAACCGCGGCCUAAGUUCUAGCCAGCAGGCGCGCGAAUACCAACUGCACUGACGGUAUUCGGAAUCACUGGGCUUAAAGGAUGCGUAUGCGACCUGCCAAGUAUCAUGUGAAAUUCUGCGGCUCAACCGGCAAACUGCAUUCUAAGCUGAGAGGGUUGAAUGAGUCAGGG